CUUCGCAUUGCUCACUUUCUACACUUCAUUCCGCCGUCCUGCGUCGUGACUCCGCGCACUAUAGAUUGCUGUUUAGCGUCUCCACUGCCUCCCACCCGUUUUCUCCGGUGCCAGUGCCGUUGAAAGACAACGCCGAAAGGAGUGCACAACACACACACACACACAUCAACUUGCGUUUCUUCGCGCUUCUUAUUUGCAUCUUGAGCUGCACGUCUCUCGUACUCUAACCUCCCCGUCCUGAAAGGCAAGCAAUCAACAAUGAACGGGCAGCAACCGGUUAUUGUGGUAAACCAGCGCGUGGAGCGCGAGUCUGGCCGCAAGGCGCAGAUGAGCAACAUCGAGGCAGCCAAGACGGUUGCUAGUCUCAUCAGCAGCACACUGGGUCCAUGUGCCAUGCUGAAGAUGAUCAUAGACCCCAUGGGCGGCACAGUUCUGACGAACGAUGGCAACUGCAUCCUGCGCGAGAUUGAUGUAGUGCACCCCGCGGCGAAGCACAUGCUGGAACUCGCCCGCGCUCAGGACGAGGAGGUGGGUGACGGGACGACCUCAGUGAUUAUCUUGACGGGCGAGAUUCUGAGCCUGGCGCAGCCGUUGCUGGAGCGCAACAUCCACCCGCUCAAGAUUGUGAAGGGCUUCACCCAAGCUCUGUCUGACGCGCUGGCGGCGGUGGAGAAGAUUGCCACCUCGAUUGAUCCCGAGAACAAGGAGCAGUUAGAGGAUGUGGUGCGCGCCUGCCUUGGCACCAAGUUCAACUCCCGUGAGGAGGAGCUGAUGUGCCGCAUGGCUGUUGAGGCAACGCUGCGCGUAGUGCAGGUGAACCCCAUCACUGGAGUCAAGGACAUUGACAUCAAGCGCUACGCCAAAGUGGAGAAGAUUCCUGGCGGCUCCAUUACGGAUAGCGUUGUGCUGGAUGGCGUCAUGUUCAAUAAGGACCACAUUCACUCGAAGAUGCGCCGCGUCAUCGAGAGCCCGCGCAUCCUCUUGUUGGAUUGCCCUCUUGAGUACAAGAAGCCGGAGACGACCAUCAACGUGGAGCUGACCAAGGACACCGACUGGGAGGCCCUGCUGAAACAGGAGGAGGACUACGUCCGCUCUAUCUGCAACGUCAUCAUUUCCUUCAAGCCGGAUGUAGUAAUCACGGAGAAGGGCGCCUCUGACUUGGCGGCGCACUUCCUGUACAAGGCUGGCAUCACCUGCAUCCGCCGCCUUCGCAAGACAGACAACAACCGCAUAGCCCGUGCCACCGGCGCCACCAUCGUUAGCCGUGUGGAGGAGCUGACGCAGGAGCACAUUGGCAAGGCGGGCUUAUUUGAAAUCAAGAAAAUCGGUGAUGAGUACUUCACCUUCAUCACUGGCUGUCCAGGGGGCUCUGCGUGCAGUAUUCUGCUUCGUGGCGCCAGCAAGGACACGCUGAAUGAGAUGGAGCGCAACCUGCAUGACGCCAUGUGCGUGGCGCGCAACAUCAUCCUCGAGCCGCGCAUCGUCUACGGCGCUGCGUCGUGCGAGAUGUCUGUCUCCUCCACCCUCAUGGCGAAAGCCAAGUCCAUUGGCGGCGUGGAGCAGGCUGCGUACCAGGCGGUGGCGAUGGCGCUGGAGGUGGUACCGCGCAUUCUGACGAGCAACUGCGGCGCCAACGUGAUUCGUGUGGUCACGGAUCUCCGAGCACGCCACGCGAACCCGGAGGGGUGGUACUGGGGCAUCGACGGCCACAGCGGACACAUUGUUGAUGCGCGCACCAUCAAGGUUAUCGAGCCAGCUGCGGUGAAGGUUCAGGCGCUGAAAACUGCAAUCGAGGCGGCAUCCAUGAUUCUGCGCGUCGACGACAUCGUGUCCGGUACCAAGCUCCGCGAGGAGAAGCCGACAGCGAAGCCGAAACAGCAGGAUGAGGACCCCGAUGGGGCUGCAGAGCCGUAAGACGGAAUACCUGGGGAAGCGGGAAAAGGACAACGCCGAGAGAGGCAGAGGGGUAAGGAGACGGGCAUGGCGCCGUAAGUGAGACGUUCAUCUGCGUUCCAUCUGCUCCCUCCUCUCUCUAUGUCCUUCUUUCCAUUCACGCUCCACGCAGACGCAUCAGUGUUUUAUAAUCGGAAGUUGUGCCAGGCGGAGCGGGUCAUGCGCGUUGAUGUUUUGGGCACUUGUUUGCGAUUGUGUGUGCCAUGAAGCAGAUUAAACGAGAGGAGGCAGACGAAAAAAGGAUAGCGUUGCUGGACAGGCGCUGGGGCGGAAAGGACUGGCCAGGGACAAGUUGCAGGCAAAAAGAGAGGAGGGGGGGGGCACAGUGCAAAACCUUUGUACGCGUGUGUGCAUCACUUCCGCUUUAGCGUGAGUGCCUUGUUUCUGCCGCCCCCAAACCUUCUACGCAAGCCAAGCACACAGAAGAAAAGCGAGACAAGAUAGCGCGCCGGGACGCCACACAUACACCGACCCCCACCCCUCCCCAUUCGCACGCGAGCACCCGCAGCCGUAGAUGGCUACGGGAGAACAAGGAAUGACUAGCCUGGAAUCUGUAUAGAGGUGUGUGCUGCCUGCACUCUUUUGCCUCUCUCACGCGUAGUCCGUGCCACUGAAUGAUGUGCGUGAGAGCUUGGAAAGAAAAGCGCGCACCCAAGUCUGCACCCUUAGAUGCAUGAUUGCACGAGCUGUGCGUUGUCGCUCGGAUGAGUGCCUCUCUUUAUCUGGUAUCCAUCGCCCUUCUGGGAAUCGCGCGGUGUCGUUGACAACUCGGCGCGGCACAGCUGUAGGGUUAGGGGGGAGGGGAGGGGAGGGCGUAUUGAGGCGAAUAGCGGGUUGAAGACCUUUCAUUUUCGUCAUCCCUUCUUGUUUCAGGCUCCCCAAUGCACCAUCAUGCCUUUGCAUGCGUGCAUGCGAGUGUGCGCUGACUUCUAAAACGAGAAAGGGCAACAACAACAGCUGCACCAGGGAGAGAGAACGAGAUGGAGGGGGGUGGAGGAGUGGAAGGCGGUGGGAGGGGGCAGCCGACAGCGCUAUGCGCUCAACAAGGAAUAGCAUCCUGCGUUAGCCCGUGGCCGUACCACGUUUUUCUCCGUUGUUUGCUGGCUGUGUAUUGUCCAUUUGUGUGCUGUGUAAGUAACAGAAAAGGAGCAAAAAGAAAACGCAUGUUUGUGGGUCUUUUCCGUGUCGAUUUUCAAACCUCAAGUAACGGGCGAGAGCAGAAAGGCGAAAAGGGAACAAUUAG
rnacentral:misc_RNA from 1 species